UACGGGGGGGGCAAGCGUUGUUCGGAAUCACUGGGCGUAAAGGGUGCGUAGGCGGGUCUUUAAGUCAGGGGUGAAAUCCUGGAGCUCAACUCCAGAACUGCCUUUGAUACUGAAGAUCUUGAGUUCGGGAGAGGUGAGUGGAACUGCGAGUGUAGAGGUGAAAUUCGUAGAUAUUCGGAGGAACACCAGAAGCGAAGGCGGCUCACUGGCCCGAGACUGACGCUGAGGCGCGAAAGCGUGGGGAGCAAACAGG
rnacentral:rRNA from 1 species